GUCCAGACUCCUACGGGAGGCAGCAGUGAGGAAUAUUGGUCAAUGGCCGAGAGGCUGAACCAGCCAAGUCGCGUGAGGGAAGACGGCCCUACGGGUUGUAAACCUCUUUUGUCGGGGAGCAAAGCGAGUCACGUGUGACUCAUUGAGAGUACCCGAAGAAAAAGCAUCGGCUAACUCCGCGCCAGCAGCCGCGGUAAUACGGAGGAUGCGAGCGUUAUCCGGAUUUAUUGGGUUUAAAGGGUGCGCAGGCGGAGGUGCAAGUCAGCGGUCAAAUUGCGGGGCUCAACCCCGGCGAGCCGUUGAAACUGGCUGUCUUGAGAUGUCGAGAGGUAUGCGGAAUGCGCAGUGUAGCGGUGAAAUGCUUAGAUAUUGCGCAGAACUCCGAUUGCGAAGGCAGCAUACCGGCGGCGAUCUGACGCUGAGGCACGAAAGCGUGGGUAUCGAACAGGAUUAGAUACCCCGGUAC
rnacentral:rRNA from 1 species